rnacentral:rRNA from 1 species
UACGUAGGUGGCGAGCGUUGUCCGGAAUUACUGGGUGUAAAGGGAGCGUAGGCGGGAAGACAAGUUGGACGUUAAAUUUAUCGGCUUAACCGGUAACCGCGUUCAAAACUGUUUUUCUUGAGUGAAGUAGAGGUUGGCGGAAUUCCUAGUGUAGCGGUGAAAUGCGUAGAUAUUAGGAGGAACACCAGUGCGAAGGCGGCCAACUGGGCUUUAACUGACGCUGAGGCUCGAAAGCGUGGGGAGCAAACAGG